rnacentral:rRNA from 1 species
GAUGAACGCUAGCGGCAGGCCUAAUACAUGCAAGUCGGACGGGAUUUGGGAGCUCGCUCCUAAUGAGAGUGGCGCACGGGUGCGUAUCACGUAUGUAACCUACCUUAAUCAGGGGGAUAGCCUCUCGAAAGAGAGAUUAACACCGCAUAAUAUAUUUUUAUGGCAUCGUAGAAAUAUCAAAUAUUUAUAGGAUUAAGAUGGGCAUGCGGAACAUUAGCUAGUUGGUAAGGUAACGGCUUACCAAGGCUACGAUGUUUAGGGGAUCUGAGAGGACGACCCCCCACACUGGUACUGAGACACGGACCAGACUCCUACGGGAGGCAGCAGUAAGGAAUAUUGGUCAAUGGGCGCAAGCCUGAACCAGCCAUGCCGCGUGCAGGAAGACGGCCCUAUGGGUUGUAAACUGCUUUUGUACCGGAAUAAACCCUUUUACGUGUAGAAGGCUGAAUGUACGGUAAGAAUAAGGAUCGGCUAACUCCGUGCCAGCAGCCGCGGUAAUAC